rnacentral:rRNA from 1 species
UACGGAGGGUGCGAGCGUUAAUCGGAAUUACUGGGCGUAAAGGGUGCGUAGGUGGUUUGAUAAGUUAUCUGUAAAAGCCCAGGGCUCAACCUUGGAAGGUCAGAUAAAACUGUUGGACUCGAGUAUGGGAGAGGGUAGUGGAAUUUCCGGUGUAGCGGUCAAAUGCGUAGAGAUCGGAAGGAACACCAGUGGCGAAGGCGGCUACCUGGCCCAAUACUGACACUGAAGCACGAAAGCGUGGGGAGCAAACAGG